AUCCCUUCUCAGCCUUUUGGCUAAGAUCAAGUGUAGUAUCUGUUCUUAUCAGUUUAAUAUGCGAUACAUUCUCUAUCCAAGGAUAUUAUAUUAAAUGGAUUUUUGGAGUUGGGAGGUAGAAUAGGAGCUUGCUCCAUCCACUUCUUGCAUCAACCUGGUAUUGCAGUACUUCCAGGAAUGGUGCACCAAAC